rnacentral:tRNA from 1 species
GCGGGUAUAGCAUAAUGGUAAUGCACUAGCCUUCCAAGCUAUGUACCUCGGUUCGAUUCCGUGUACCCGCUCCA